CAGGAUGAACGCUGGCGGUCUGCUUAACACAUGCAAGUCGAACGGGCUCUUCGGAGCUAGUGGCGGACGGGUGAGUAACGCGUGAGAAUCUGCCUUCAGGAGGGGGAUAACGACUGGAAACGGUCGCUAAUACCCCAUAUGCCUACGGGUGAAAUGUUUUUCGCCUGAAGAUGAGCUCGCGUCCGAUUAGCUAGUUGGUGAGGUAAGAGCUUACCAAGGCAACGAUCGGUAGCUGGUCUGAGAGGAUGAUCAGCCACACUGGGACUGAGACACGGCCCAGACUCCUACGGGAGGCAGCAGUGGGGAAUUUUCCGCAAUGGGCGCAAGCCUGACGGAGCAAGACCGCGUGCGGGAUGACGGCCUAAUGGUUGUAAACCGCUUUUCUCUGGGAAGAAGAUGACGGUACCAGAGGAAUAAGCCUCGGCUAACUCCGUGCCAGCAGCCGCGGUAAUACGGAGGAGGCAAGCGUUAUCCGGAAUUAUUGGGCGUAAAGCGUCCGUAGGUGGUUCAUCAAGUCAGCUGUUAAAGAGCGGAGCUCAACUCCGUCGGAGCGGUUGAAACUGGUGAACUAGAGUUUGGUAGGGGUCGAGGGAAUUCCCAGUGUAGCGGUGAAAUGCGUAGAUCUUGGGAAGAACACCGGUGGCGAAAGCGCUCGGCUGGGCCAAAACUGACACUGAGGGACGAAAGCUAGGGGAGCGAAAGGGAUUAGAUACCCCUGUAGUCCUAGCCGUAAACGAUGGGUACUAGGUGUUGCUCGCGAUCGACCCGAGCAGUGCCGUAGCUAACGCGUUAAGUAUCCCGCCUGGGGAGUACGCUCGCAAGAGUGGAACUCAAAGGAAUUGACGGUGGCCCGCACAAGCGGUGGAGUAUGUGGUUUAAUUCCGAUGCAACGCGAAGAACCUUACCAAGG
rnacentral:rRNA from 1 species